AAUGAACGUUGGCGGCGUGGAUUAGGCAUGCAAGUCGAGCGAGAAGUUUACUUCGGUAAAUGGACAGCGGCGAAAGGGACAGUAAUGUGUAGGUACCUACCCCCCGAUCUGGGAUAGCUGCGGGAAACUGCAGGUAAUACCGGAUAAUGUCUUCGGACCAAAGGUGUGAUUCCGUCAGGGGAGGGGCCUGCAUCCUAUUAGCUUGUUGGUGAGGUAAUGGCUCACCAAGGCAACGAUGGGUAGCGGGUGUGAGAGCAUGACCCGCGUCAUUGGGACUGAGACACUGCCCAGACAUCUACGGAUGGCUGCAGUCGAGAAUCUUCGGCAAUGGGCGAAAGCCUGACCGAGCGACGCCGCGUGCGGGACGAAGGCCUUCGGGUUGUAAACCGCUGUCGUUGGGGAGGAAAUGCAAAAGGGUUAUCCCUUCUGUUUGACCGAUCCAAGGAGGAAGUACGGGCUAAGUUCGUGCCAGCAGCCGCGGUAAGACGAACCGUACGAACGUUAUUCGGAAUUACUGGGCUUAAAGGGUGCGUAGGCUGCACGGAAAGUUGGGUGUGAAAGCCCUCAGCUCAACUGAGGAAUUGCAUCCAAAACUGCCGU
rnacentral:rRNA from 1 species